rnacentral:rRNA from 1 species
GACAGAGGAGGCGAGCGUUAUCCGGAGUCAUUGGGCGUAAAGGGUAUGUAGGCGGCUAGUCAAGUCUGAGGUUAAAGACCACAGCUUAACUGUGGGAAGGCCUUGGAAACUGACUGGCUAGAGUGAGGCAGGGGUUGCGGGAAUUCCCGGUGUAGCGGUGAAAUGCGUAGAUAUCGGGAAGAACACCUGAGGCGAAAGCGCGCAACUGGGCCUCAACUGACGCUGAGGUACGAAAGCUAGGGGAGCGAAUGGG